rnacentral:lncRNA from 1 species
GGGGCCACAUCCCGGCGGGGCGGUCUGGCUUGGCCCUUGGGGGGGGCCCUGGCUUUAAAAAAAAACUGAAGCUCGUGGCGCGGGCGGCAUCAGCAGGGGGUGAUCUGGGGCGCCAUGGGGGGCUAGGUUGGGGUGCCUGGGGGCCGGCGGGGGUAACUCCCAGCGGCCCCCUGGUGCCUUAUGCGGCUUGGGGUGUGGUCGUCCUCCCUGGGCGGGCUGCUCCUGGUGCUGCAUCCAUUCCGGGUCCUUCUGGCCUGGGGUCGGGCCCCUGCUGGCUCUGGGCUCGCCGGCGGGUGCCCGCCGGCUGCCCGUUCGGCGCGGCUCUGGUCGUCUGCUGGGCGUGGGCUUCGGUUCCUCCGCUGGGGCCUCGGGCAGGGAGUUCUCUGGGCCCUCCCCUCGGGGGGUUGGGCGCGGGGGUGUGUGUGGGGGGGGGGGGUCGGUGGGGUGGGGGGUCUGGGGGUUGGGGGUGGGAUCGGUGGCGUGGUGCGCUGGGUCCUUGGCUCCUUGGGGCUUUCUCGGGUGUGUAUGGGGGGGGGCGAUGGCUGCCUCUCGGCUUGGGACCUUGGGGGCGUGCGGGGGGCUGCUUGGCCGUGGGGUGGUCGCCGGGGGCCCUUAGGCUGCCCGCUCUCGCUGCUGGCCUGACUGCUUCUUCGGGCCCGGGGGCGGCUCGUGGGUUUUGCAGUGGCGGUUCUUGGAAAUACAUUUGUCAUGUAUGCACUGGCCUUGGGCUGUGGGAUAACACUCAUACUGGGCUCAACCUUAGACACCUUGUUCCCAAAUACCUGUUUUAUGGAAUUUCCACUCACCUCUUCCUCUGUUCACAGCCACCACUAUUAUUCCUAAACCGCACACUGGUCACCAAACUGCACAAUAUACACAACCACAAUUUCACAUCGCAUCACUUGGAACCUAACAACUAUUCCCCACUCAUUCCAUAUCCUAUCUUGUAUCCCUCUUCCCUGUUAACUUCCCCACCCCCCUCCAACCCCUCACCUUGGUGUAAACACUGCCCUCUCUUUUUUUACAUCCUCCCUUUAAUAAAGUAUUUCUUACCCUUCCCUAGGGAGGGCUGGUGAUGGUCACAAUUAUGCAAUGAAAUAAAUAAAUUUAUUUAAUUGCAAUAAUAAAAUAUGCAUUGCUGUUAAAAGAUUGCACUUCUUGUAGUGUUAACCUUCGACAGCAUGUGCAGACAAGGUAAAAAAAAAAAAAAAAAAAAAAAAAAAAAAAAAAAAAAAAAAAAAAAAAAAAAAAAAAAAAAAAAAAUUGUAAUAGCUGUAACUGAUACAAACAUAAGGAAAAAGCUUUCAGGUUAUAAAAGUAGAUCUAGUUUUCUGUUUGGUUAAUGCCUAAGUUUACAGAUUAUUA